CGUAGGAGGCAAGCGUUGUCCGGAAUCACUGGGUGUAAAGGGUGCGCAGGCGGGAAGGUAAGUCAAUGGUGAAAUCUCACAGCUCAACUGUGAAACUGCCAUUGAUACUGCUUUUCUUGAGUUUGGGAGAGGGUGGUGGAAUUCUUGGUGUAGCGGUGAAAUGCGUAGAUAUCAAGAAGAACACCAGUGGCGAAGGCGGCCACCUGGCCCAUAACUGACGCUCAUGCACGAAAGCGUGGGGAUCAAACAGGAUUAGAUACCCUGGUAGUCCACGCCCUAAACGAUGAGAACUUGAUGUUGGUCCCGCAAGGGAUCAGUGUCGGAGAUAACUCGUUAAGUUCUCCACCUGGGAAGUACGCUCGCAAGGGUG
rnacentral:rRNA from 1 species